GACAGAGGGGGCAAGCGUUGCUCGGAAUUACUGGGCGUAAAGGGCGCGUAGGCGGGAUGGCAAGUCGGUCGUGAAAUCCUUCGGCUCAACCGAGGAACUGCGUCUGAUACUGGAAGGCUUGAAUCCGGGAGAGGUAAGUGGAAUUCCGAGUGUAGAGGUGAAAUUCGUAGAUAUUCGGAAGAACACCAGUGGCGAAGGCGACUUACUGGACACAUAUUGACGCUGAGGUGCGAAAGCGUGGGGAGCAAACAGG
rnacentral:rRNA from 1 species